UUGUGCUCUGUCCAGGAUAUUGUAAUAUUGUACAAUCAAUUCUAUAAUCACCCUCACAACAUGAAUACACAUAUUAACCAAAUGAAUUUCAUAGCAAACAUUUUGUACUUUUAUAAUAUUCAUUUGUUUUUCUGGUCAUUAUUCCAAUACUUUGUAUAUCCAAACUCUGUAUGUUAAGCAGGUUAAUUGCAUUCAAUCAAACCAAAAGACCAAAAACUGUAAAAUUUUGUAAAUAUUCAGGGAGCAAAUAAUAUGUAGCUUGUGAUAAUUUUUGCAGGUAUUAAAACUUGUAACAAAAAAUUUUGUUUUUUUACCAGAAGCUAUUUCUUUUCAUGAUGAUUUUGCAAAUCUGAAGUUAUUUUAAAAUUUGAAAAGCACCUCAGAAAUGCCUCCACAAUAUUGUAGUUCUGGUCUUGUCUUUCAGUUUUGUUUCAUCUUGUCUUACAAUUCAAUGUUGAUGGAUUUCUUUCUGUGAUAGGGGUUUUUUUUUUUUUUAAUUUCUUCUUAUAAACUUUGUUAUACAUAUUUACAUUAUAUUUUAAUACUUUAUAUUUUAUGAGAUUAUCAUUAUCCACCAAAUGCUGUAUAUUAGGGCAGGUCCCAAUGUAUAUAAAAGAAAUUUCCUUGUUUAUUAAAUCUUAUUUAAUACACAUGCC
rnacentral:misc_RNA from 1 species